rnacentral:lncRNA from 1 species
GACGUCUGAAAUUCUCAAAAGGCCUUUGUGACUUCAAAUCUGAUGGCUUCUUUUGUUGGGCCAAACUUUGAGCCCAACAGCUUUUAAUAAUAAAAUGUCUUGGUAGUGUACACUUCAUUUAGUCAUAUUCAAAUUGACAAGCUAAAACUCAAGAAUAUAAAUACAAUCAAUUUGGAACUCAAAAUGUGCGAAUUGAGUUAGUAAAGAAAAUCAUGAAUUUUAACUACAAGACUAUGGGCUAGGUAUAUGAUACAAUUUCAGGCCUUCGAAUAUUUUACUGGAACUCUUUACUGGGUUGAUGACUAACUUUAGGCAAGCUCAAUACAAUAAAUUGCCUCAAGAAGCCCCUAAUACAAAUAGCCAAGCUAGUGAUAAUUAAACAAUAUGCCAAACAUACAGACAAGGAAAUCACUGCAUUUAGAAUUCCAAAAAAAAGACUAUUAGAAGCUGACAUUUACAAUCUGUGCCCUUUCAAUCAAGACUCUUAGUAAUCAAGGCUUUAUAAUGUGUACAAAACUAUUGAAUAAUGACAAAACUAAACUAAUACAUGGUAUAACUGGAUUCUUCAACUCCCAAACCCCUUUCAGCAACUUUAAAUUCCUCCUUUUGGCUUCAUGGCUUACCAAUCUAACCAAUAGUGGUCAGAUCUGCAAACUUCAGCCAAAUUAUCAAUAGCAGAUAGCUUUUCCAUUCUUCAAAUUUUAAAGCAAAUCCACAUGUUUUCAUAUACAGAACAAUUAUAGUAAAUCUCCUGCUAUUGCAACUUUAAAACCAAAAGACAAAGCUACUAACAAGCAAGCACAACCAUGUUUCUGAAAGAAAGAAAGGAGAAUACAGCAUAAAAUUCAAUUGGCAUGUUUCAAUCCACUAAUGAAUACUAAUAAAUAAUUCCAUUGUCCUAAAACUCAAGCCAUUACAUAACUUAACAACACAAAUGAAUAGAAUACAAGAACUAAUACAAAUUUAAAACUUUAACAGGGCUUGAAGUCCCAAGAACAUUGCAAGAAUAAACAAACCAGCUUCAUUUAUGCUCAAAAAAUUUAAGAAAUCAACAUUUUUAUUCAAAGCAACUCAAUCAAAACAUACAAAAAAGUUCAGAAGAAUACCUAGCCAAGGGAAAAUAGCCUAAAGAACAAAACAAACUGCAAUUUCUAGCUCAGCUCAAACAAACCAGUAGUGAAUCAAACCAGGAUCCUGUUCCAAUCUCUGAAACCCCGCAAAGAAAGGACCCCAAAACAGAAGGAAACUCAAAAAUUUCUUAAGAAACAUUUUGGAGAAUAUUUUUUAGCCGAUUUCCUCUUUUUCUACUCUUUUUCCUGUGCCCAAAUCAUUGACAAGAGGGUCCUUUUAUAGAAGGAAUUUUAGGGCAGC